UGGCGGACGGGUGAGUAACGCGUGGGUAACCUGCCUUGUACAGGGGGAUAACAGUCAGAAAUGACUGCUAAUACCGCAUAAGCGCACAGGACCGCAUGGUCCGGUGUGAAAAACUCCGGUGGUAUAAGAUGGACCCGCGUUGGAUUAGCUUGUUGGCAGGGUAACGGCCUACCAAGGCAACGAUCCAUAGCCGGCCUGAGAGGGUGAACGGCCACAUUGGGACUGAGACACGGCCCAG
rnacentral:rRNA from 1 species